GACGAACGUUGGCGGCGUGCUUAACACAUGCAAGUCGAACGGUAAGGCCCUUCGGGGUACACGAGUGGCGAACGGGUGAGUAACACGUGGGUGAUCUGCCCUGCACUUCGGGAUAAGCCUGGGAAACUGGGUCUAAUACCGGAUAGGACCACUGCCUGCAUGGGUGGUGGUGGAAAGCUUUUGCGGUGUGGGAUGGGCCCGCGGCCUAUCAGCUUGUUGGUGGGGUGAUGGCAUACCAAGGCGACGACGGGUAGCCGGCCUGAGAGGGUGACCGGCCACACUGGGACUGAGAUACGGCCCAGACUGCUACGGGAGGCAGCAGUGGGGAAUAUUGCACAAUGGGCGCAAGCCUGAUGCAGCGACGCCGCGUGAGGGAUGACGGCCUUCGGGUUGUAAACCUCUUUCAGCACCGACGAAGCGCAAGUGACGGUAGGUGCAGAAGAAGGACCGGCCAACUACGUGCCAGCCGCCGCCGUAA
rnacentral:rRNA from 1 species